CCGACCUCAGAUCAGGCGAGACCACCCGCUGAGUUAA
rnacentral:rRNA from 1 species